rnacentral:rRNA from 1 species
GAUCAUGGCUCAGGAUGAACGCUGGCGGCGCGCCUAACACAUGCAAGUCGAACGGCACCUGCCCUCGGGCAGAAGCGAGUGGCGAACGGCUGAGUAACACGUGGAGAACCUGCCCCCUCCCCCGGGAUAGCCGCCCGAAAGGACGGAUAAUACCGGAUACCCCGGGGUGCCGCAUGGCACCCCGGCUAAAGCCCCGACGGGAGGGGAUGGCUCCGCGGCCCAUCAGGUAGACGGCGGGGUGACGGCCCACCGUGCCGACAGCGGG